GUCAUUUUAGCUUGCUUCUAUUUGGCGUAGUAUCAUUUCGGCGCAUCAUAUUUAUACUCAAAGCGUGAGUUUAUUUAUACUAUAUUGGUAUUACUUUCAAUCAAAAGGUUAGGAUUAUGUCAUCACUAGUAUUCCUAUAACAAUACAAUAUAUUAUCCACUUGUUGAUACUAAGCAAGGACGGAGUCUUCAGAUAAGGAGUAGCUUUCCAUUUACUUAGUAUAUGGCAUGCAGUAUGCCUGCAUUGAGCCUUGAAAUAGACUCUCCUAUUAUGUCGGAGGAGUCUUACCCAACGCAAUGACCAAAAGAGGGGUUGAACCAACGUGUUGGAAAAGCGGAAAAGCUUUUGCUCUUCUAAUAUGCUGAGACUGUUUGAAGUUAAAUAUCGCCCAAGGUCUUAAGAGAAGAAAUGGAGUGCAAAGUGAGAUGGUGAAAAGUUGAUUCUUCACGGAGGAGAUCCUGUUCUGGAGAUUUGUCCUGGACGACGAAGAGUCUUUCGAUCACAAUUUGGCAGCUUCCUCGCUUGUUUGUGGUAAAUCUCCUUUUGAGAUGUUAAAGGAAUAAACGAUGUGAACAAAGCUCGAUGGUUAACUCCUUGAACUAUGAAGAUCCCUGGAGUCUUCAACUCUUACCUGAAUUUAGUUGAUCUAUGAUGUACUAGAAUAAAAUCCUUUAUUAUUUUAUAUACUUCGUGUACUCCGCCUCUAUGGGAUGUUACGUUCAAAGAUGAGACCCCGUACUUCAUUCUUUAAACACUUGUCUUAUACUAUCUCCUCCAACACUAAACUCCUUUAACUUUCUCUUCAGUCAACUAUAUCAUUCAUUCUUUCCAUCUCUAUUAUUGACUUCGAUUUGGUGCUUGAUAAAAUAAGGUCAGAAAAUUGAUGCUUUGGACUCUUGUUAAAUUUGUUUAUAACUCAAGAAUACUUAUACUCUGACUCGUCAAAAGCAUAUUCUAAUAUAGAACAAACUUCUUAAACUUAUUCUCAGAAAAAUGAGCACAAAAGCUGUUGAGAGGACUGGAAAGCCAUAUGCCACGACUCAACAGAAUUAUUAGUCCUUGGCAAUCCCUGUGCCACAAAAACAUUAUUUUUUUUAAUACUAGGAAUAUUUUUGUCAUCAAAAUCGUGGAUAAAUAAUUAAAAUAUUCAGAAUAAUCUGAUAUUAUGUAAUAAACAUGAAAGGAUCAUUUCUAAAACAAACUAAUAAUAAGAUUAAUUUGUCAUUUAUGCUGAAUAUAAUAAAUAUAGAGCUUAAUAUGAUGAUCUUGCUAACAUAACUGAAUAUGAUGUCUUAAGUAAGCCUAAGGAUUUUUACUAUUUUUUCUUUAAAACUAUAUAUAUAUUUGCAAAUAUUUAAAUGAUACUCAGUAAAUAAAAUUUUCUAAGGCAUACCUAUAUUCAUAUUGCUUGAACAGUUUGUAACACAGACCAACAUAAUAGUUCUACAACUGAUAACAGUAAAAAUUUUGACAACUUGCAUGUCUAAAAUUACAAUAAUUAAAUAGCAUUUUUCUAUCAAAAUAAAGUUGAAGGAAUCAAUAUGAUACAAAAA
rnacentral:lncRNA from 1 species